rnacentral:lncRNA from 1 species
CAUCGCCAUGGCUGAAGGAACUCUGGAUUGUGGUGGUGCUCCAUCCCAGGCAGUGCUGACCCCUGGUGAGGCCUGCACCCCCAUCCAGCUACCUGUGGCGAUCCCAGGGCGGAACAGCCUGGCCUGGCCCCACAGCACUGACCAGAAGAUGCAGUGGCUAUCAGAAGUGGGAAGGAGCCCCAUCCAGACAGAGCCUCCUGCACAGAACCAGUUCUUCCUGGAGCCAUGUGAGAUGGGCAGAGGCGCCCCUACAGGGCUGUGCGAGGAGUUGUGCAAAGGUCUCCCUGAGGAGCUGUGCGAGGUGAUGUGCGAGGAUCCUCAAAGGGAGCCGUGCGAGGUGGCAUGCGUGGAGCUGUGUGAGGACACUCCUCCCUGGGAGCUGUGCAGGGAUCCCUCCAUGGAGCCAUGUGAAGGGCCGUGCAAGGAGAUGUGCAAAGAUCCUCCCCCCAGGAAGCCAUGCGAGGGCCCCCUUGGAAGCCCAGUGCAGGGGAAGGCCCGGCUCCCAUCAAUUGUGGUGGAACCCACAGAGGUGGGAGAGGUGGAAAGCGGGGAGCUGCGUUGGCCCCCAGAUGACUUCCUGCUGCUGGAGGGCCAGGACGAGCUCUUCACUGAUGAAGAGGAGCAAGCAGCAGGGCCGGGGCCUGGGCCCCCUGCUCUGGAGAGCAGCCUGGAUGAAGUGCUGCUGUGAGGCUGCCAGGGCAGAGGGGACCCCACUCCCCGCCCCGCCCCAGACCCCACUAGAGACCCAGCUGUAGCCUUGUCGGGGGGGUGCAACUCAGGGACCAAGGACACCCUCCCCAGGAGCUGGACAGCAGCAGGAGGGGAUGGGCCCCCUGCCACCAGAACCUUAGGGGGCAGAAUAAGACCAGCCUGGGGCACCCUCUUGGCUGGAUCCAGUGCCCCUCAUCUGUGAGUAAGAGUCAGCCUGACUUUGAUCUGGGACAGCAGCACUAUGGGGCACGCACUGCCCCCACCACCUCCAGGAGCUGGGGCCCAGACUGGGCACCUGCUCUGUAUGGACAGUGGGGACCCAAGGCUCAGGGGAGCUGGGGGCCCUGCCUGCAGGGUUUGUGCUGGUGGGUAUAAGGUGCCCCCUCCUCUCCUGCUGAGCUCAGC